CGCGUAGGUGGUAGUGUAAGUCUGGGGUGGAAUCCCAGGGCUUAACCCUGGAACUGCCUUGGAAACUGCAUUACUUGAGUCAGUGAGGGGAGGGUAGAAUUCCUGGUGUAGCGGUGAAAUGCGUAGAUAUCAGGAGGAAGGCCUGUGGCGAAGGCGGCCCUCUGGCGCUGGACUGACACUGAGGCGCGAAAGCGUGGGGAGCAAACAGGAUUAAAUACCCUGGUAGUCCACGCCCUAAACGGUGGGCACUAGGUGUAGGGCUCGUAAGGGUUCUGUGCCGAAGGGAAACCAUUAAGUGCCCCGCCUGGGGAGUACGGCCGCAAGGUUGAA
rnacentral:rRNA from 1 species